rnacentral:lncRNA from 1 species
CAGAUGACUAUCCACCAAUAUUUGGCCCCAGGUCUAGAUGCAGUGCCUUCAGCAAUAGCAAGGAGAAUAUGGCAAAGAGCUAAAUCACAUUGUCCACUACUGUGCUUGUCAGGCUAUGAGGACCCCUUUAGGUAAGCAGAGGACUCCUAACAAUAAGGGUCAGUGACUACAUGCAUUGAACAAAAUCAUUCUCAGACCAUGAUCAUAAAAUGGCUAUUUUUUACCCUCCAAGCCAUUUUCUACUUUGCUUUUGAAGGAAAAAAGGUG